rnacentral:lncRNA from 10 species
AGGGUGAGGUUUUGGGGGCUCUGAUGUGCAAGGGAUUACAGGCAUGAGCCACCGCACCCGGCCUGAUGGGUGAAUUUUUAAGAGGAAGAAUAAUAAGCAAAUAGACUAGUUUAAAAGCAAGGUAUCAUUUCCUUGGUGGAUCUCUUGAGAAGGAGAUGGAAACAGUGAUGGGGGACUUUGGCUUGGCCUCCACUGAGUCCCAGAACUUUUCUCUCUAGAGUGUUGCCACCUUUAAAUGGCCCCUUACUCUCAUAAUCAGUGCUGAGUAGUGGCAAGGGGGAGAAAAUGGAAAAGUUGGCAUGGGAGAGAAGGCAGAUCCAGAAGAUAGGAUACAGCUCAGCCCUGAGAAUGUGGCCUGAUUUUCUCUUCUGUUAUUACAACUGCUCUUCUGCUUGAGUUUCUUCUACACCUUCAAGAUGGCUGAAGAACAAGACGCUUUCUCUCCAUGUCUAUGCUGUUUCACGAUGCUGCAAAUAUUCCCAGCCUUUUCCCCUUGAUGCCCAAAAUAAAUUCCUCAAAUACCCUG